GAGCAGGGACAGGGAGCCAGGUGGGGACACGGAGCAGGGACAGGGACACAGAGCCAGGUGGGGACACGGAGCUGGUCACAGAGGUGCAAUUAAAAUCAUUAGAGGAACAAAAGCAGGGCAGGGGAAGGAAGCUGCCAGCCCCCAACACAG